rnacentral:rRNA from 1 species
GAUGAACGCUGGCGGCGUGCUUAACACAUGCAAGUCGAGCGGGCAAUUUAUCUAGCACUGAUUACUUCAAAUGGAAAUCAUAAGUGUAAUCAUGAAUUUCUACCUUUAAUAAAGAAAAAAGAAAUUCAUGUACGCAAAUAGUGAUAACACAUUUUAGUGGAGUGAUGAGUGCUGGAUAAAUUGCUAGCGGCGGACGGGUGCGUAACACGUGGGUAACCUGCCCCUAUCACUGGGAUAACACACUGAAAAGUGUGCUAAUACCAGAUAACAUAAGCUUUUGGCAUCAUUAGCUUAUCAAAGAAUUUCGGAUAGGGAUGGGCCCGCGUCCGAUUAGCUAGUUGGUGAGGUAACGGCUCACCAAGGCAACGAUCAGUAGCCGACCUGAGAGGGUGAUCGGCCACACUGGAACUGAGACACGGUCCAGACUCCUACGGGAGGCAGCAGUGGGGAAU